rnacentral:misc_RNA from 1 species
AGAAAGAGAAAGGUUAUGCUUUACAUCAGUACUAGUUUUCUACCUUUCUGUGGAUACAGGUCAUUUCUAACUAAAUAGACUAGUAAUAUAUGAGAGUAGAGAUAAAAGAUACUUGGCGGCCAAAUGUUAUUGGAUUCUCAGAACUUAGGGCACCUGCUUUUUUCAAUUUACUAAAAGUGUGGACUGCUUGUGGACUAAACAGCCCAUUAGAAAGGUUUUAUUUUGUAU